ensembl:lncRNA
GUUACUGUACACUGUGAAAAUGCAGUCCAGUCUGUUUUGUUCAGUGCUGGUUAAUCUACUACGUCAUCAUAACACAUCGUUUGGGACCUGCCAUCUAUUCGUACGCAGUCCCUCUGGAUGAACUUGCUCAUAGACACUCAUCUAAGGUCAGCUUUAUGUUUCCCCCCUCUAAUGGGGUUAGGAUUUGGUGAAGGUAAACUGACUCUAGAUCUGUGCCUAAGGACAACUGCUUUGCCUGUCUGUGAGGAUGAGACGAGGCCUGUCGUCCCCUAUCACAGGUAAAAACGUGAUUCACGUAUGGUUGAUUAUGAGCCAAAACAGUAGGGAGAAAGGCAACCUGUCUAGUUAUUCUAGGGUUGGUAUUCAGGGAGAAAAUGUCCUUGUUCACUCUUCUGUUAUAGGUCCUGUGUAUGGAAUCUAUUUUUCCCACUGUUCUUUCAGGCUAACGCAGACCAAGACACUGGGACCUACACAGAUUUACUGAAACCAAAUCUUUUGGAUUUUUAUAACAAAACUCUGAGAAAAAUGGAGGAAAAGUCUGAAUCCAACUAUGAAAGAGAGCUGAGAGUGCUGAUUGUGUGGGGCCACAAAUGUCUGUGAGGCACUCUGUUGGAAACACAAUCCUGGGUAGAGAGGCCUUUCAAGCUGGGGGAAUCACUGCCCAGUGUGAGAAGAGAGGUGGAGGAGUGAGAGGGAAGAAGCUCACUCUGGUCAAAGCUCCUGGCUGGUUGGAGGAAAUAUUG